UACGUAGGGUGCAAGCGUUGUUCGGAAUUAUUGGGCGUAAAGGGCGCGUAGGUCGGGCGGUCAAGUCAGGGGUGAAAGCCUCCAGCUCAACUGGAGAAGUGCCCUCUGAUACUGAUCGUCUCGAGGGGGAUAGGGGCGUGCGGAACUUCCGGUGGAGCGGUGAAUGCGUAGAUAUCGGAAGGAACACCGGUGGCGAAAGCGGCGCGCUGGAUCCCUUCGUGACGCUGAGGCGCGAAAGCCAGGGGAGCA
rnacentral:rRNA from 1 species